rnacentral:rRNA from 1 species
GACGAACGCUGGCGGCGUGCUUAACACAUGCAAGUCGAACGGAAAGGCCCUGCUUUUGUGGGGUGCUCGAGUGGCGAACGGGUGAGUAACACGUGAGUAACCUGCCCUUGACUUUGGGAUAACUUCAGGAAACUGGGGCUAUUACCGGAUAGAAGCUCCUGCUGCAUGUGGGGGGAUGGAAAGUUUCGGCGGUUGGGGAUGGACUCGCGGCUUAUCAGCUUGUUGGUGGGGUAGUGGCUUACCAAGGCUUUGACGGGUAGCCGGCCUGAGAGGGUGACCGGCCACAUUGGGACUGAGAUACGGCCCAGACUCCUACGGGCGGCAGCAGUGGGGAACAUUGCACAAUGGGCGGAAGCCUGAUGCAGCAACGCCGCGUGCGGGAUGACGGCCUUCGGGUUGUAAACCGCUUUCGCCUGUGACGAAGCGUGAGUGACGGUAAUGGGUAAAGAAGCACCGGCUAACUACGUG